AGGCAGCGGCUUGGCUCUGUCCCUUACAUUGCUGAAGUCCAUGGGCGACGGUAACCACUCACCAUUAGGUGGGCUCGUCUGCCUACAAGGCCAAUAAAAAAAUACUUUAUGAAGCUGAAGACCGAUUCAAAAUUGUGGUUUCUUUCUAGCUUCAAUUUAAUAUUUCCUAACUUCAGACUGAGGCAUGCAAAUCGAGGAGGUUCAUGUGAAUAUGUAUUUGAUUUCAAUAGUGUCCCUGAAGUACCGGUAAAAAGGAAAUCAAACGAAGCUUAAAAAUUCAGGACUCGAGCGGAGCCGGAGCGUGCCGCUAGUAAUUAAUAAAGAGGAACAAGAAAACGUAAAAAGAAACAGGGUAAAGUUUCGGAAAAAGAUUUUGGCACAUAAGUAACCAUUAGUUGGAAGUAGAACGCCUUGGCCUGAGCGAUACGACGAAGUCGGACCGGAAUGUUGUUCACAACGCCAUUAAAACUACUAGUAAGUACGCGUGUCUUGCACGUUCUCCUAUCACACAAUAUUGAACGAGUCUACAUAUAUAUAAAAGCCGAGGACGUCGCUAUGCCCUUAGAUCAAACCGUUUAUACGCUUUAAUAUUAGAAGGACAUACGCAAAAAUAAAACAUUCAAAUACAUUCAUCUAUUGAGGCAUAUGAACAAAUUUUUGGGCUCCAGACUUCGACAACGUCAAGGGUAAAAAUUUCUUAGAAGUAAGAAAAUCCAACUAAACCUGAAAACGGAAAUUAUCAAAUAAUAUAUCUUUUGUCUCGUUUACGCAAUUUUAUGUGGCGACGUUUCACUUUAAUCAUUGUCUUUGUUUAUUUAAAUACUUUAAGCCUUAGUAAAUAGAUCAGUAAAAACAGGAACAA